AAAAAGUUAAACCCUAAGUUUCCGUGUCCAACAUUUGACCAUCCGUCUUAUUCGAAAAAAAUAUAAAAAAAAUAAAAAGAUAAGUUACUCAUAAAGUAUUAAUCAUGUUUUAUCAUCUAACAAUAAUGAAAAUACUAAUUAUAAAAAAAUUUCAUAUAAGACGGACGGUCAAACGUUGGACACGAAACCCAAUGUUUAUCUUUUUU
rfam:Oryza sativa Japonica Group DNA, chromosome 12, cultivar: Nipponbare, complete sequence.